GAAAUGCGAUAAGUAAUGUGAAUUGCAGAAUUUAGUGAAUCAUCGAAUCUUUGAACGCACCUUGCGCUCCUUGGUAUUCCUUGGAGCAUGCCUGUUUGAGUAUCAUGAAAUCUUCAAAGUAAAUCUUUUGUUAACUCAAUUGGUUUCUACUUUGGUAUUGGAGGUCUUUGCAGCUUCACACCUGCUCCUCUUUGUUCAUUAGCUGGAUCUCAGUGUUAUGCUUGGUUCCACUCGGCGUGAUAAGUUAUCUAUCGCUGAGGACACUGUAAAAGGUGGCCAAGGUAAAUGCAGAUGAACCGCUUCUAAUAGUCCAUUGACUUGGACAAUACUUUUAUGAUCUGAUCUCAAAUCAGGUAGGACUACCCGCUGAACUUAAGC
rnacentral:misc_RNA from 1 species